rnacentral:piRNA from 1 species
UGGGAUUAAAGGCGUGUGCCACCACCAC